rnacentral:rRNA from 1 species
GACGAACGCUGGCGGCGUGCUUAACACAUGCAAGUCGAACGGAAAGGCCCUGCUUUUGUUGGGCGCUCGAGUGGCGAACGGGUGAGUAACACGCGAGUAUCCUCCCCUUGUCUUUGUGAUAUCUUCACGAAACUGGGGCUAAUACCGCAUAGGAUCUCCUGCUGCAUGUUGGGGGUUGGAAAGUUUCGGCGGUUGGGGAUGGACUCGCGGCUUAUCCGCUUGUUGGUGGGGUAGUGGUUUACCAAGCCUUUGACGGCUAGCCGGCCUGAGAGGGUUACCGGGCACAUUGAGACUGAGAUACGGACCAGAAUCCUACGGGAGGCAGCAGUGGGAAAUAUUACACAAUAGGCGGAAGCGUGAUGCAGCAACGCCGCGUGCGGGAUGACGGCCUUCGAGUUGUGAACCGCUUUGGCAUGUGACGAAGCGUGAGUGACGGUAAUGGGUAAGGAAGCACCGGCUAACUACGUG